UUUGCAGGUAUGCCUCGUUAGCCAUGGGGUUGUCAGGGCCAAAUGCAGGAUAGUUGAACACUAGAGGACGCGGACACCAUACAGCAAGGAGAGAUAUUAAUAGUGCCGUACACGGACAUCGGUUGGUCACCUUACUUUCCUCUGGUGUCCGGUCUGUGCACAGAGAAGGGAGGUCUUCUAUCACACGGUGCUGUGAUAGCAAGAGAAUAUGGACUGCCGUGCAUUGUCUCUGCGAAGAAAGCGACGCAUGUCUUCAAAACAGGUGAGGUGGUGAUUCUGAAUGGAACCCUGGGCACAAUCGCAAAGAUCACUCAGCCAACCAGCAACGAGCCAUAGGAACAAAAAGAAUGCCAGUAUAACAGUUCAUGUACAAUGCCAAAUCUAUUACGACGUUGAAUACAAUUAUACGUUGAAUACUUGAUGCUUUAAAUACAUAAAAACGCGAAUGAAAUGUAUAGGCCAUGUAGGUCUAAUUAAACAAAUAAAUACGAUAAUAAUUAAAUCGUGUAUACUAA